AUUGAACGCUGGCGGCAGGCCUAACACAUGCAAGUCGAGCGGAUGAAGGGAGCUUGCUCCUGGAUUCAGCGGCGGACGGGUGAGUAAUGCCUAGGAAUCUGCCUGGUAGUUGGGGAUAACGUCCGGAAACGGGCGCUAAUACCGCAUACGUCCUGAGGGAGAAAGUGGGGGAUCUUCGGACCUCACGCUAUCAGAUGAGCCUAGGUGGGAUUAGCUAGUUGGUGGGGUAAAGGCCUACCAAGGCGACGAUCCGUAACUGGUCUGAGAGGAUGAUCAGUCACACUGGAACUGAGACACGGUCCAGACUCCUACGGGAGGCAGCAGUGGGGAAUAUUCGACAAUGGGCGAAAGCCUGAUCCAGCCAUGCCGCGUGUGUGAAGAAGGUCUUCGGAUUGUAAAGCACUUUAAGUUGGGAGGAAGGGCAGUAAGUUAAUACCUUGCUGUUUUGACGUUACCAACAGAAUAAGCACCGGCUAACUUCGUG
rnacentral:rRNA from 1 species